GUAGGUGGCAAGCGUUGUCCGGAAUUAUUGGGCGUAAAGCGCGCGCAGGCGGUUCUUUAAGUCUGAUGUGAAAGCCCACGGCUCAACCGUGGAGGGUCAUUGGAAACUGGAGAACUUGAGUACAGAAGAGGAAAGCGGAAUUCCACGUGUAGCGGUGAAAUGCGUAGAGAUGUGGAGGAACACCAGUGGCGAAGGCGGCUUUCUGGUCUGUAACUGACGCUGAGGCGCGAAAGCGUGGGGAGCAAACAGGAUUAGAUACCCUGGUAGUCCACGCCGUAAACCGAUGAGUGCUAAGUGUUAGGGGGGUUUUCCGCCCCCCUUAGUGCUGCAGUUAACGCAUUAAGCACUCCGCCUGGGGAGUACGGCCGCAAGGCUG
rnacentral:rRNA from 1 species